rnacentral:rRNA from 1 species
CUACGUGCCAGCAGCCGCGGUAAUACGUAGGUGGCAAGCGUUGUCCGGAAUUAUUGGGCGUAAAGCGCGCGCAGGCGGAUUGGUCAGUCUGUCUUAAAAGUUCGGGGCUUAACCCCGUGAUGGGAUGGAAACUGCCAAUCUAGAGUAUCGGAGAGGAAAGUGGAAUUCCUAGUGUAGCGGUGAAAUGCGUAGAUAUUAGGAAGAACACCAGUGGCGAAGGCGACUUUCUGGACGAAAACUGACGCUGAGGCGCGAAAGCCAGGGGAGCGAACGGGAUUAGAUACCCUGGUAGUCCACGCCGUAAACGAUGAGUGCUAGGUGUUAGACCCUUUCCGGGGUUUAGUGCCGUAGCUAACGCAUUAAGCACUCCGCCUGGGGAGUACGACCGCAAGGUUGAAACUCAAAGGAAUUGACGGGGGCCCGCACAAGCGGUGGAGCACGUGGUUUAAUUCGAAGCAACGCGAAGAACCUUACCAGGUCUUGACAUCCCUCUGACCGCUCUAGAGAUAGAGUUUUC